UACCAGACUCCUACGGGAGGCAGCAGUGGGGAAUAUUGGGCAAUGGGCGCAAGCCUGACCCAGCAACGCCGCGUGAAGGAAGAAGGGUUUCGGCUCGUAAACUUCUCUCAACAGGGACGAAAGAAAUGACGGUACCUGAAUAAGAAGCCCCGGCUAACUACGUGCCAGCAGCCGCGGUAAUACGUAGGGGGCAAGCGUUGUUCGGAAUGACUGGGCGUAAAGGGUGCGUAGGCGGUGUAGCAAGUUAGAAGUGAAAUACCUAGAGCUUAACUCAGGUGCUGCUUCUAAAACUGCUAUACUUGAGUGCAGUAGAGGAAAGUGGAAUUCCUAGUGUAGCGGUGGAAUGCGUAGAUAUUAGGAGGAACAUCAGUGGCGAAGGCGACUUUCUGGACUGUAACUGACGCUGAGGCACGAAAGUGUGGGGAGCAAACAGGAUUAGAUACCCGCGUA
rnacentral:rRNA from 1 species